UGUUGGAUGUGUCGUGUAUCUUCUUUCUCACUCUCAGUCAGGCUUUGAGCUAUGAAAUAAUCUGUCUCAUGAAUAUACAAAUAAUGUGAGGUCUACUGAAGUACAUAUGGGAAUGUCUGGGCCCCGAGAGCAUCACCAACAACCACGUCCCUCCUCUAGAGCAGCCCCUGAGUGUAAAUCUCUUCACCAUGGACUGGACCUGGAGGAUCUUCUGCUUGCUGGCAGCAGCUGCAGGUGCCCACUCCCAGGUGCAGUUGGUGCAGUCUGGGGCUGAGGUGAAGAAGCCUGGGGCCUCCGUGAAGGUCUCCUGCAAGGCUUCCGGAUACACCUUCACCAACUACUACAUGCAGUGGGUGCGACAGGCCCCUGGACAAGGGCUUGAGUGGAUGGCAGAGAUCAACCCUAGUAGUGGUAGCACAAACUAUGCACAGAAGUUCCAGGGAAGAGUCACCAUGACCAGGGACACGUCCACGAGCACAGCCUACAUGGAGCUGAGCAUCCUGAGACCUGAGGACACGGCCGUGUAUUACUGUGCGAGAGACACAGUGUGAAAACCACAUCCUGAGAGUGUCAGAAACCCCAGGGAGGAGACAGCUGUGCUGGGGCUGAGGCAGUGAAAGGGAUUAUUAGAUUGAAGACUUUCCUAGAAAGAGAGGUCCAUUCAUGAAGAAAGGGGACCAUAAAAUUUGUAUGCACUGUAAUUACUUGGGAAACUCUCCAUACAACACUUAUUCUGUAGGCAAAAUUCAGGGAGCGGAAAAUAAAUUAGAUUAAUAAAACAUAGAAGAAUUCCUCUGAAGACAUUAGUGUGAACAUCAGUUUUUGAAUUGGUAUUUUUAAUAUUUUGGAACAGAGCUGCUAGAUCACAUUUUAAUUCUACUUUUAUCUUCAUUGUAUGAAGUGUCCAAAUAUUUCAUCAUAUUUUGUGCAGUUCUGAUUUUGGAUUUACACCAGAAAUGCACGAGAGACCGAGUUCUUCCACAUCCUCAUUGCCACUUGGCAUCAUGAGAACUGUGGAUUUAAACCACUCUAAUAAAAUAGUACUGAUAUCUCCUUCUUGUUUAAAUGCACCUGUCCCGAAUUAACAUUUUAUAUUUAAAUAUGUUUAGGCAAUUUGGAUGAAGUGUCUGUUUUGA